rnacentral:rRNA from 1 species
UACGAAGGGUGCAAGCGUUACUCGGAAUUACUGGGCGUAAAGCGUGCGUAGGUGGUUUGUUAAGUCUGAUGUGAAAGCCCUGGGCUCAACCUGGGAACGGCAUUGGAAACUGGCUUACUAGAGUGCGGUAGAGGGGUGUGGAAUUCCCGGUGUAGCAGUGAAAUGCGUAGAUAUCAUUUGGAACGCCAAUGGUGAAAACAGGUAGCUGGGAGUGUGCUGACGCUGAGACACGAAAGCCAGGGGAGCAAACGGG